CCUGCAUUUCGGUGUUUGCAAUUCUUUGCUCACUAUCACAAGAAGCAAGAUUGUUGGUCCAGAGCUCCAACUCUGUUGAUCACCUUGGUUAAAGAAUCU